GUGGGGAAUAUUGGACAAUGGGCGCAAGCCUGAUCCAGCCAUGCCGCGUGAGUGAUGAAGGCCUUAGGGUUGUAAAGCUCUUUCAGUGGGGACGAUAAUGACGGUACCCACAGAAGAAGCCCCGGCUAACUUCGUGCCAGCAGCCGCGGUAAUACGAAGGGGGCUAGCGUUGUUCGGAUUUACUGGGCGUAAAGCGCACGUAGGCGGAUCGUUAAGUCGGGGGUGAAAUCCUGGAGCUCAACUCCAGAACUGCCUUCGAUACUGGCGAUCUUGAGUCCGGAAGAGGUGAGUGGAACUCCUGGUGUAGAGGUGGAAUUCGUAGAUAUUAGGAAGAACACCAGUGGCGAAGGCGGCUCACUGGUCCGGUACUGACGCUGAGGUGCGAAAGCGUGGGGAGCAAACAGGAUUAGAUACCCGAGUAGUCC
rnacentral:rRNA from 1 species